rnacentral:rRNA from 1 species
AGCCGCGGUAAUACGGAGGAUCCGAGCGUUAUCCGGAUUUAUUGGGUUUAAAGGGUGCGUAGGCGGCCUUUUAAGUCAGCGGUGAAAGUCUGUGGCUCAACCAUAGAAUUGCCGUUGAAACUGGGGGGCUUGAGUAUGUUUGAGGCAGGCGGAAUGCGUGGUGUAGCGGUGAAAUGCAUAGAUAUCACGCAGAACCCCGAUUGCGAAGGCAGCCUGCCAAGCCAUUACUGACGCUGAUGCACGAAAGCGUGGGGAUCAAACAGGAUUAGAUACCCUGGUAGUCCACGCAGUAAACGAUGAUCACUAGCUGUUUGCGAUACACUGUAAGCGGCACAGCGAAAGCGUUAAGUGAUCCACCUGGGGAGUACGCCGGCAACGGUGAAACUCAAAGGAAUUGACGGGGGCCCGCACAAGCGGAGGAACAUGUGGUUUAAUUCGAUGAUACGCGAGGAACCUUACCCGGGUUUGAACGCAUUUCGACAGCUCUGGAAACAGAGUCUCUAGCAAUAGCGAUUUGCGAGGUGCUGCAUGGUUGUCGUCAGCUCGUGCCGUGAGGUGUCGGCUUAAGUGCCAUAACGAGCGCAACCCUUGCCACUAGUUACUAACAGGUAAAGCUGAGGACUCUGGUGGGACUGCCAGCGUAAGCUGCGAGGAAGGCGGGGAUGACGUCAAAUCAGCACGGCCCUUACAUCCGGGGCGACACACGUGUUACAAUGGCGUGGACAAAGGGAAGCCACCUGGCGACAGGGAGCGAAUCCCCAAACCACGUCUCAGUUCGGAUCGGAGUCUGCAACCCGACUCCGUGAAGCUGGAUUCGCUAGUAAUCGCGCAUCAGCCAUGGCGCGGUGAAUACGUUCCCGGGCCUUGUACACACCGCCCGUCAAGCCAUGGGAGCCGGGGGUACCUGAAGUGCGUAACCGCGAGGAGCGCCCUAGGGUAAAACUGGUGACUGGGGCUAAGUCGUAACAAGGUAGCCGUACCGGAAGGUGCGGCUG